UGCAGGGCGAAGGGAGGGAUGGGUAGUCCUGGCAGUCCUUACAGCAUGAGCUGUGUUUGCUUUGAGUGAAACACAAUAAUUACAGAGGGAAUGACACUUGAGGCUCCUGGGAGCUGUUCCAGCUCUGCACUGGUUCCUCAGGGUCAUCAACAUACAGCAAGAGACUCUCCUCUUCUUGGAGGAAGCCCAAGCCGCCAUCUCAGAAGAGUGGUUGAACCAUAUAACAGCUGAAGCUAAAACAAGGAGAUGAGACCUAUGCUGCCCAGUGCACCCAUGUUCUGAGGAGCCCCAGUCCAGGAGCAUCAGCUAGGUUGGAGCUGCUGAUCACAGAAACUGAGGAGGACCAAUGUAUUUGGUAGUGCAGUGAGCCUACAGCCAUCCAAAGCAAGCUGGAGAAUGCAUGCUGGGGAAACAAAUCAGCAAGCAGGCAGUGGCAUGUGAAGAGAGUCCCUCUGCUGGCACAGAAGUGAUUGCAGACCAAUAAUACAAAUCAUAAUACCAGUAUGUGUAAAGG
rnacentral:lncRNA from 1 species